AGCAGCCGCGGUAAUUCCAGCUCCAAUAGCGUAUAUUAAAGUUGUUGCAGUUAAAAAGCUCGUAGUUGAAUUUCGGAAUCAAUAUGUUGGUCGUGCCUCGGUACGUACUAGCUUAUUGGUUUCUCCUUUCUGAAGAACCAUGAUGUCAUUUAUUUGGUGUCGUGGGGAAUCAGGACUGUUACUUUGAAAAAAUUAGAGUGUUUAAAGCAGGCUCACGCUUGAAUACAUUAGCAUGGAAUAAUGAAAUAGGACGUUUGAUUCUAUUUUGUUGGUUUCUAGGAUCGACGUAAUGAUUAAUAGGGAUAGUUGGGGGCAUUAGUAUUCAAUUGUCAGGGGUGAAAUUCUUGGAUUUAUUGAAGACUAACUACUGCGAAAGCAUUUGCCAAGGAUGUUUUCAUUAAUCAAGAACGAAAGUUAGGGGAUCGAAGACGAUCAGAUACCGUCGUAGUCUUAACCAUAAACUAUGCCGACUAGGGAUCGGAUGAUGUUAAUUUUUUAAUGACUCAUUC
rnacentral:misc_RNA from 1 species